AUGGGAAAGAAGGGGAAAAAAGGGUUAAGAAACUUGGCUGAAGAGCUGAAUGGCGUCGAGCGGCGAGGGGAGGGACUGGGCCGCGGCGGACUCAGCGGCGGAGGGAGGAGCGCGGCUGCGGGCGGGCGGCGAGCGAGGCGCUCAAAGUCAGCCUCGCAGACAUUGCAGCAGAGCCCCGAACUCGGGAGGCGGCGGCGGCGGCGGCGGAGGAGGAGGCGGCGGCCGAGGCGGAGGGACGACCCGGCCCCACGCCCGCCCGCGCGCCCGCACGCCCGCCCGUGGCCUCGCGUCCGCCGCUGCGCUCGGCAGUGCUGCCGGUCGGAGGCAAGAGCUCGCUGGGGCGCCGAGGGAGGACGGGGCGGUGGGGCGCCUUCGCGGAGUGAGCCUGCCGGAGCCCCGGGCUCGGAGCCGCGGCGGCCUCGGAUACACACUAGAUUGAAGGAGGAGUGGGGAAUCUGA
rnacentral:lncRNA from 1 species